UCUUGCAAACUAAAGAUGGCGACCGGCGCACGGGUGAGUAACACGUAUCCAACCUGCCGAUAACUCGGGGAUAGCCUUUCGAAAGAAAGAUUAGUAUCCGAUGGUAUAUUAAAACCGCAUGGUUUUACUAUUAAAGAAUUUCGGUUAUCGAUGGGGAUGCGUUCCAUUAGUUUGUUGGCGGGGUAACGGCCCACCAAGACUACGAUGGAUAGGGGUUCUGAGAGGAAGGUCCCCCACAUUGGAACUGAGACACGGUCCAA
rnacentral:rRNA from 1 species